CCUUUAAGCCUAUGGUAGCACUGUCGCCCGCAGGACUACUACUUCCGUCGUGCCCUGCGCAUUUUAUUCCUGAAAAGUGGAGGUGGAGGGGUAAGGAGGGGGCAGGAGUCAGGGUUCCUCUUCGAGGAGGGAGUAAAGAGGAGGAGGAGGAAGGAAGGAGGAGGGAGGGGAUCGGAGCGGAGGGGAGGGGAGGGAAAGGGAACAGAGGAGAAAGGAGGAUGCAGCUCAGGAGGGAAGAGCGAGGCGGCCAGGGCCCCGAGCGGAAGCAGGGCUGAGCCGGCGAACCCGGGGGGCUGAGGCACGCCGAUUGCCCCUUCACCGCUUUCAUAUCCCCUUCCAUCAUUUCUUUCCACCAUCCAGCUUGAGGAAGGGGAUUUAUUCAGGUUUUAUUUAACUCUAUCUCCCGAGGGUCCCGCGCUGGGGGAAGGGAGAGGGCGGGGGCGCGCGCAGGCUGGGUUGGGGGUGGGGCGGGGCCCAGCAGCUUCCUUCACUCCCCUCUGCUCACCCCUUAGCAGUAGCGCGGGGGGCCGCAGACCAGGGGCGGGCCCAGGGGAGGGGGCCAAGUUGCAGGAACCCCCCCUCCCCGGGAACCGGCGGUGAGCGAGGCUUGAACCCCGGAAACGGUAGGGGUCCCAGGCCUGGCCCUGGACCCCUGGGUUGUGGAAAUCGGGAAGGGGCCAGUUAAAGGGCCGGGGGCGCUGGGGAGAGGCGGGGCGGGAUGGGAGGAGGGGAGCUGGGACUCGGACCCCCUGACUGAAUGGGACCCGGGCAGAAGCUGUGCACCCUGCGCCCCAAGAGCCCUUGUUGGCCUGGGGGGGACUGAGGGACUGAGGUCCCCAGAGCUGGACCUUCCCCUGGAACGGCCGCGCCCCCGGCGCCCCCUGUCUGCACUCGCCGUCGUCCAGGCCUCCGCCCUCGGGGGGCCGUGGACCCCGGCGUUCUGAGCGUUCCGCGACCCGCGCUGCCCGGCUCCCCCGCCGCCGAUGGCCGCCGACCCUCCGGGAACUGCCGAGAGGGAGAGAUGGCUCCUGGGACACGUGUGAGCCCUCGGCGUUGCUGACGCCCCCAAUGUCGUCGAGCAGCCGGGGGGCCAGGGGCCGGAGCGCGCCGACGCCGAACCCGCUGCCGGGCCUGUGUGCAAACUGAAUGCGGGGACUGCCACUUCUCCCAAGACAUGAAGAAGUUCGGGGGGCCCGGGCGCAUGAAGCAGUCGUGCCUGCUGGGGCAGUGCACCGCCGUGAGUGCACCGCCCCCCUCCUGUGCUGGUGCGCCGCCUCCAGUCCUACCUGAACCCGUGUGCUUGGAGGACGCGGCGGGCCAGGUCCCGGCUCUCGGCGCCGCGUUAGAGGCCAUGCUGGCCGCGCUGGGGGCCAAGAGCCGCUAGCCCCGUCCCAAACCCGCGGCCGCCGCCGUCGCUGCCACCACUGCCUCCGCGGGCGUUUUCCUGGCCAAGGUGCUGGGGUUCCCUGUGUGGGGCCUCUACCUCGAGCUGCAUGAGGCCGACCUGGGCCAGCUGGCGUCUGGGGGCCCAGCCUGAGCGCCAGGCACGCGGCCCAGCUCGCAGUCCCCUCCCUGGCCGUCUCCAUCUCCCCAUCUCUGUCAGUGUCUCUGUGUCCUCCGACUGUGUCCGUCUCUCUGUUUUCUUUGUAUGCUUCUCCAUCUUUUUCUCUCUGGGUCCUUCUUGUCUCCCUCUACGACUUCCCAUAUCUGUCAUGUCCUUGCUUCCCCAUCGCUCCGGUCUGCCUCUCUGAGCGUCUCUUUGUCUUCCAGUCUCUUGUUUCCUCUGGGCCCCCUGGGAGCCUGUGUAUAUGUCCACCUCAUCUCAAGGAAGGGACCCCUGUCACUCUGUUUGCCUCUGUCCUUCUCUCUGUCGUUUCCUGGCCAGGAACAUGCCUGCUGGCCCUAUGGUGGAAGGGCUCCUCCUGACACAUUUCAGCCCCCUUUCCGCAGGGUCACGCCACCUGCUGCUCUCCCUGUCCCCAUCCCAGCCCUUGUGGCCCUCCACCCUCUCCCUUUGAUGCCCUCCACCCCUUCCCCUCCCUCUGCCCUAAUCCUACACCUUCCCUUCUCCUCAAAUCAGGUUUUUGGAGACAAAAGAAAAAUCUCACCCCUUUGAAGAGUUUUAUUUUUGAGAAUAAAUUAAUUUUUUGUAAAUAAAAUGUUUAGAAAGAACCUAGAA